AACGCGAAGAACCUUACCUGGGCUCGAAGCACAGUGGACCGGGGUAGAAAUAUCCCUUUUCGCAAGAACUGCUGUGGAGGUGCUGCAUGGCUGUCGUCAGCUCGUGUCGUGAGAUGUUGGGUUAAGUCCCGCAACGAGCGCAACCCUUAUCGUUAGUUGCCAGCGGGUCAAGCCGGGCACUCUAGCGAAACCGCCUCGGAUAACGGGGAGGAAGGUGGGGAUGACGUCAAGUCCC
rnacentral:rRNA from 1 species